rnacentral:sRNA from 1 species
UUCGCGAUCAAGUCGAUACUGCCCCAACGAUAGCGUGUAUCGCAACAGCAACUUUUUACGACGUAUGACGUACGAGAUUCGCAGAUGCAUACAUUACCGUCUACCCUCCUGCACCAUGCGCUUUACCUUAUCGGCUUCUACCGGGUAAGUUUUCCUUGUUUCCCCCUAUUCAUCUUUUCCAUUGACUAUAUUUUCUUUGUUCUUCUCCCAUUUUUUAUUCUCUCUGGGCGAGACCGUCUCUCUCCACAAACUGCUAUGCCGCAAUCCCCGCCUCUUACUCCACCAGCGGGUCGCCCCUUCGGUGUCCAGUAAUACCUCUUGUGUGCCACCGGACACAUUGCUUACCGGGGGCUUCACCCUUCUCUUCUUCCAGUUGAUACAGGGGUGUGUGCGCUGCUGGCGGUCCACUCAGGCGCCUGACCAGCUGACAUCGCAAACUCCCCGUUGGCUCAUACACACGGGGCCGCGAUGCCGUGAGCCCCUCGGGAUAUGAUUCCUGUCGCGCAAGGCUGUGCCUUUUGGCCUUUGGGUCCGGCCACUUCCAUGGCGCUUGCAUCUUCGCUUUUCCUGCCGACGUACCUCCUCGUUCUCGGGGGAGCUCCAAGGGAUGUGAUCCUGACUGAACUGUGGCAGCCACUGGCCGUUCUGCUGCGGGCCAUAGCCAUGAUGUCGCUACUGUGUCGCUGAGUCGACAAUGUGGCCUCCCGUCCGCUGCAGGGACAUUAUGUCAGCAAUCCCAUCCUUCAUACGCCGCCGAAUAAAACGCUCAGCUUCGACACGCAGAACUUAUGUACCACAGACCGAGUCGUAUCCAAUUUCCUCACGCCAGAUGGAGUCUUAUCCAAGAAUUACCAAGGCUAAUUCGAGAGAGACUGAGUCCUACCCCAGCCAGCUAGAAUCGAAUCCCAUCAGGACAUUGCACCCUUUACAAGAUCCGAACCCAGCAAACCAUCGUCAUUCUUCCACCGGGUCAUCGACAGCAUGGACUUUGACCAUGGCAACGAAGGGAGGGGCUACGCGGGCUACUAGAUUCUAUAUAGAACUCAUUGUUUUUAGGUUAAAGGAUAAACGCGUCUACAUAUUUAGAUAG